CCUACGGGAGGCAGCAGUGGGGAAUAUUGGGCAAUGGGCGCAAGCCUGACCCAGCAACGCCGCGUGAAGGAAGAAGGCUUUCGGGUUGUAAACUUCUUUUCUCAGGGACGAAGCAAGUGACGGUACCUGAGGAAUAAGCCACGGCUAACUACGUGCACGCAGCCCCGGUAAUACGUAGGUGGCAAGCGUUAUCCGGAUUUACUGGGUGUAAAGGGGGUGUAGGCGGGAAAGCAAGUCAGCUGUGAAAACCCUGGGCUCAACCUGUGGCCUGCAUUUGAAACUGUUUUUCUUGAGUACUGGAGAGGCAGACGGAAUUCCUAGUGUAGCGGUGAAAUGCGUAGAUAUUAGGAGGAACACCAGUGGCGAAGGCGGUCUGCUGGACAGCAACUGACGCUGAGGCGCGAAAGCGUGGGGAGCAAACAGGAUUAGAUACCCUUGUAGUC
rnacentral:rRNA from 1 species